CCCUUCGAUGUCCUGGGCUGCACGCGCGCUACACUGAUGUGUCCAGUAAGCACCUAACCUCUUCCGAAAGGAACGGGUAACCUUUGCAAAGCACAUCGUGAUGGGGAUAGAUUAUUGCAAUUAUUAGUCUUGAACGAGGAAUUCCUAGUAAGCACAAGUCAUCAGCUUGUGUUGAUUACGUCCCUGCCCUUUGUACACACCGCCCGUCGCUCCUACCGAUUGAAUGUUCCGGUGAGCUCUUCGGACUGCGCGGUCUGCAGUUUCUGCGUUCCGUGCGGAAAGUUGCGCAAACCUUAACAUUUAGAGGAAGGAGAAGUCGUAACA
rnacentral:rRNA from 1 species